AUUGAACGCUGGCGGCAGGCCUAACACAUGCAAGUCGAGCGGAUGAAGGGAGCUUGCUCCUGGAUUCAGCGGCGGACGCGUGAGUAAUGCCUAGGAAUCUGCCUGGUAGUGGGGGAUAACGUCCGGAAACGGGCGCUAAUACCGCAUACGUCCUGAUGGAGAAAGUGGGGGAUCUUCGGACCUCACGCUAUCAGAUGAGCCUAGGUCGGAUUAGCUAGUUGGUGGGGUAAAGGCCUACCAAGGCGACGAUCCGUAACUGGUCUGAGAGGAUGAUCAGUCACACUGGAACUGAGACACGGUCCAGACUCCUACGGGAGGCAGCAGUGGGGAAUAUUGGACAAUGGGCGAAAGCCUGAUCCAGCCAUGCCGCGUGUGUGAAGAAGGUCUUCGGAUUGUAAAGCACUUUAAGUUGGGAGGAAGGGCAGUAAGUUAAUACCUUGCUGUUUUGACGUUACCAACAGAAGAAGCACCGGCUAACUUCGUG
rnacentral:rRNA from 1 species